GGCUAUGAGGGCAAUCUGGCUGUGAUGUCCGUCACUCUACUGACCACCAGGGUUGAUUUGGCUGAUCUGGCUGGCUAGGAGGGUGUCCCCUUCCCCCCCUCAACACUCCACAUGUUUCCCUCCCAAAGCUGUGUGCUGGGUCAGCCUCCUCCAAUAGAGGAGUGCUAUUCCUCAGUCAAGGGGAACCUCCAAGUUCUCAAACAUAUCUUAUUGAGCCGGGAUA
ensembl:misc_RNA 7SK 7SK RNA